rnacentral:sRNA from 1 species
AACACACAUUCUAAUCAUAAGAUUGAAUAUAAAAUUAGGGAAUUUAAUGAAAAAAACCCUCAACUUUGGCCAGAUCCAUUUUUAAACCCUAAACUAUGUUUUUAGUAAAACAAACCCUGAACUAAAACCUGUUAAUAAACUUAACCCCACAGUAAUUAAAUAUUAAUGGA